GGAAAAAAAAUCAUCUUUUUUUUAUUAUUAUUACUGAGAUAAAACAUAAAUCACCUCAAUGAUACAUGAUAGGAAAAUCAUUAGAGAUUAUCCUAUUAAUUUCAAGGAUCACAGCAUAUGACAAUAUGCGUAAGUUCAAAUGCUAAAUAAUCAAACUGCAGCCAUGGAAGUAUCAGUCAAAAGAUACUAGUAACAUGAUUUCUAAAAAAAAUUCAAUGAACUGAAUUAUAGAAGAUGUCAUGUAAUAGCCUUAUCGGCUGUUAGUAAAAUAACAAUAUUAUAAAGAUAUAUAUAUUGGAUAUCAAAUUAAGGAAUUACUGGUUAAUCAAAAUAGACAAGUCUAGCAACUUUUUCUGUAAAAGAAAAAAAUAUUAAAUAUAAUAAAAAGAUAAAUUAAUAGUCCAUACUAUUUAUAACGAUGAAUGGUUCCGAUGUUGAAAUGAAAGUUGUUGUAUCAAAAUUUAAUUCUAAUUGGCAGCAAAAUGAAUUAAAUAAUAUUGUAUAAUUUAAACUUUCAAAGUGGUUUUAUCUACUUCACGUGAUGUCUCUUCAUCAUAGAAUGACAUGUUACAGCUUUUAGAUAGAAUAAUAAUAGAUAGUAUGUAUGAUUUGAAUUUUUGACAGCAAAAAUAAUAAAGAUUAUAAAUAUAAAAGAAUUUUGUAUAAGGAUAAAAGGCAACCAAACAAAAAAAUUCAGUAACUUUGAAAGGAAAAGACGCACACGUUUUUUGCAGAGAACAUGAAUUGUAAAAGAAUUCCACACAAUAAUAAUUAAAUAAUAAUACACUAAGAAAUAAUCCUACAAUGGAAAUUAAGUUCCAUUUCGGUGGACAUAUCAUAGGGAAUAAAUGAGAGAUUACAAGGUCUAAAGUGGGAUGACUAUCUUUCCUUUCUUCUCAUUCUUCAAGAAAGCAAAACAACAAUUUACUCAUUCCUACGAAGCCGUGAGAUCAAGUUUUUCAGAGUCUUAUGAGACCAUUUAUUCAAUAACCACGAUAAGCAUUUCGUUAUGCAUCUCACAGAUUCACGAGACAAGGUAUGGUAAUAUCAAGCGGCAACCAAAAGAUCGAAACAUGUAUUUCAUAUUUAUAUUACAAGGUAUUCAUACAAUCCAGAGAAAGAAAAGGUUAACUUCCCUACCUCAAGUUCAGAAAGCUUUUAUCGUUGCUUUAAGAUCCACUACCACUCCUCUUGAAGGACCUAUGUCCCUCUUAGACGCUCACAAAGAUUUCAGAUUACCCUCACUUCUUCACUUCUAGAUUUCAUUAGAUUAGAAGGCUGACGUUUUAUACUUGUUUUCAGCAACCUAAUGGUUUGGACGGUUCUAAUCAAAGAGGAACCAAAUCAUAUAAUUUCUAUUCCUUGUUUCCGCAACUACUUUUAAAUUUUGUGCAUGUUUUGUUUCAUUUUCUUACAGAAGCCAAAUUAUCAUAUAUGUUAGGGUGGAAAGGAAAAAGGAGAAUAUUAUGUAUUGGGAAAAAGAAAAAAUUAUACGUCGUGAAAGAUAAAAAUGAAAAAGCUAGACAUUCUCAACUACAAAAUAUGAAUGAUUGGCAGGACAAGAACAUCUUUCCUAACCCAAUGAUAUCAAUCCGAUAAUAAUUAUAAUAGAGAUUUUUAAUUCUAAUUCCCAAGUUUAAUCUGUACUUUCUUAGUUAAAUUUAAAAUAAGUAACCC
rnacentral:lncRNA from 1 species